AGUGAACGCUGGCGGUAGGCCUAACACAUGCAAGUCGAACGGCGGCACAGUAAGAGCUUGCUCUUACGGGUGGCGAGUGGCGGACGGGUGAGGAAUACAUCGGAAUCUACUUUUUCGUGGGGGAUAACGUAGGGAAACUUACGCUAAUACCGCAUACGACCUACGGGUGAAAGCAGGGGAUCUUCGGACCUUGCGCGAUUGAAUGAGCCGAUGUCGGAUUAGCUAGUUGGCGGGGUAAAGGCCCACCAAGGCGACGAUCCGUAGCUGGUCUGAGAGGAUGAUCAGCCACACUGGAACUGAGACACGGUCCAGACUCCUACGGGAGGCAGCAGUGGGGAAUAUUGGACAAUGGGCGCAAGCCUGAUCCAGCCAUACCGCGUGGGUGAAGAAGGCCUUCGGGUUGUAAAGCCCUUUUGUUGGGAAAGAAAAGCAGCAGGUUAAUACCCCGCUGUUCUUACGGUACCCAAAGAAUAAGCACCGGCUAACUUCGUG
rnacentral:rRNA from 1 species